GACGAACGCUGGCGGCGUGCUUAACACAUGCAAGUCGAACGGAAAGGCCCUGCUUUUGUGGGGUGCUCGAGUGGCGAACGGGUGAGUAACACGUGAGUAACCUGCCCUUGACUUUGGGAUAACUUCAGGAAACUGGGGCUAAUACCGGAUAGGAUCUCCUGCUGCAUGUUGGGGGUUGGAAAGUUUCGGCGGUUGGGGAUGUACUCGCGGCUUAUCAGCUUGUUGGUGGGGUAGUGGCUUACCAAGGCUUUGACGGGUAGCCGGCCUGAGAGGGUGACCGGGCACAUUGGGACUGAGAUACGGCCCAGAAUCCUACGGGAGGCAGCAGUGGGGAAUAUUGCACAAUGGGCGGAAGCCAGAUGCAGAAACGCCGCGUGCGGGAUGACGGCCUUCGGGUUGUAAACCGCUUUCGCCUGUGACGAAGAGGGAGUGACGGUAAUGGGUAAAGAAGCACCGGCUAACUACGUG
rnacentral:rRNA from 1 species